AUUGAACGCUGGCGGCAGGCCUAACACAUGCAAGUCGAGCGGAGCGGCGGACGGGUGAGUAAUGCCUAGGAAUCUGCCUGGUAGUGGGGGAUAACGUCCGGAAACGUGCGCUAAUACCGCAUACUAUCAGAUGAGCCUAGGUCGGAUUAGCUAGUUGGUGGGGUAAAGGCUUACCAAGGCGACGAUCCGUAACUGGUCUGAGAGGAUGAUCAGUCACACGGGAACUGAGACACGGUCCAGACGCCUACGGGAGGCAGCAGUGGGGAAGAUUGGACAAUGGGCGAAAGCCUGAUCCAGCCAUGCCGCGUGUGUGAAGAAGGUCUUCGGAUUGUAAAGUACUUUCAGCAGGGAGGCGUUACCCGCAGAAGAAGCAACGGCUAACUCCGUGCCAGCAGCCGCGGUAAUUC
rnacentral:rRNA from 1 species